rnacentral:rRNA from 1 species
AUUGAACGCUGGCGGCAUGCCUUACACAUGCAAGUCGAACGGCGGCACGGGGCAACCUGGUGGCGAGUGGCGAACGGGUGAGUAAUGCAUCGGAACGUACCUUUCAGUGGGGGAUAACGUAGCGAAAGUUACGCUAAUACCGCAUAUUCUGUGAGCAGGAAAGCAGGGGAUCGCAAGACCUUGCGCUGAUUGAGCGGCCGAUGUCAGAUUAGCUAGUUGGUGAGGUAAAGGCUCACCAAGGCGACGAUCUGUAGCGGGUCUGAGAGGGCGGACGGCCACAUUGGGACUGAGACACGGCCCAAACUCCUACGGGAGGCAGCAGUAGGGAAUUUUCGACAAUGGGGGCAACCCUGAUCCAGCCAUGCCGCGUGAGUGAAGAAGGCCUUCGGGUUGUAAAGCUCUUUCGGCCGGGAAGAAAUCGUAUCAGCUAAUACCUGGUGCGGAUGACGGUACCGGCAUAAGAAGCACCGGCUAACUACGUGCCAGCAGCCGCGGUAACAC